rnacentral:rRNA from 1 species
CAUUAAAYCAAKUUAUAGUUUAUUUGADRGUUCCUACUACRUUGGAUAACCGUGGUAAUUCUAGAGCUAAUACAUGCGACAAAACCCGACUUCUGGRAGGGUUGUAUUUAUUAAAUACAAARCCMACUYCAUUGGUGAUUCAAAAUAACGKUUACUGAACCUCAWGGCCUUGCGCCGGAGGUAAAUCAUUCAAAUUUCUGCCCUAWCAACUUUCSAUGGUAAGGUAUUGGCUUACCAUGGUUACAMCMGGYAACGGGGAAUUAGGGUUCGAUUCCGGAGAGGGGGCCUGAGAAAUGGCCACCACUUCCAAGGAAGGCAGCAKGCGCGCAAAUUACCCGCAUCCUGACUCACGGAGGUAGUGACAAUAAAUAACAAUACAAAGCUCUAUGAGCUUUGUAAUUGGAAUGAGAACAAUGKAAAUACCUUAUCGAGAACCCCUUKGAGGGCAAGUCUGKU